UUUUCCGGUUGAUCCUGCCGGAGGCUACUGCUAUUGGGAUUCGACUAAGCCAUGCGAGUCGAGAGGGUUCGGCCCUCGGCAGACGGCUCAGUAACACGUGGAUAAUCUGCCCUUAGGUGGAGGAUAAUCUCGGGAAACUGAGAAUAAUACUCCAUAGGUCUAGGAUGCUGGAAUGCACUUAGACUCAAAGUUCCGGCGCCUAAGGAUGAGUCUGCGGACUAUCAGGUUGUAGUCAGGGUAAUGACCUGACUAGCCCACGACGGAUAUGGGUUGUGAGAGCAAUAACCCAGAGAUGAUAUCUGAGACACGAUAUCAGGCCCUACGGGGCGCAGCAGGCGCGAAAACUUCACAAUGCGCGAAAGCGCGAUGAGGGAAUCCCAAGUGCUUGCACGUAAGUGUAAGCUGUUUCUAUGUUUAAAAUGCAUAGAGAGUAAGGGCUGGGUAAGACGGGUGCCAGCCGCCGCGGUAAUACCUGCAGCUCAAGUGGUAGCCGCUAUUAUUGGGCCUAAAACGUUCGUAGCCGGUUUAAUAAAUGCCUGGGUAAAUCGUAUGGCUUAACCAUACGAAUUCCGGGUAGACUGUUAGACUUGAGACCGGGAGAAGUCGGAGGUACUCCUGGGGUAGAGGUGAAAUUCUGUAAUCCUAGGGGGACCACCAGUGGCGAAGGCGUCCGACUAGAACGGGUCUGACGGUGAGGGACGAAGCCCUGGGGCGCAAACCGGAUUAGAUACCCGGGUAGUCCAGGGUGUAAACGCUGCUUGCUUGAUGUUAGUUGGGCUCCGAGCCCAAUUAGUGUCGGAGAGAAGUUGUUAAGCAAGCUGCCUGGGAAGUACGGUCGCAAGACUGAAACUAAAGGAAUGGGCGGGGGAGCACAAGCCAGGCCGGAUAAGGC
rnacentral:rRNA from 1 species